AUGGCUUUGGAGCAGUUGGUAGAAUGCAUGCUUUGUGUGUAUGAUGUCCUGGGUUCAAAUCCCAACUGUUUCC